UACGGAGGGGGGCAAGCGUUUGUUCGGAAUUACUGGGCGUAAAGGGCGCGCAGGCGGCUGCUCAAGUCAGGCGUGAAAGGCCUGGGCUCAACCCGGGAAUUGCGCUUGAGACUGGGCUGGCUUGAGUGCGGGAGAGGAUGGUGGAAUUCCCAGUGUAGAGGUGAAAUUCGUAGAUAUUGGGAAGAACACCGGUGGCGAAGGCGGCCAUCUGGACCGCAACUGACGCUGAGGUGCGAAAGCGUGGGGGAGCAAACAGG
rnacentral:rRNA from 1 species